rnacentral:tRNA from 1 species
UCCCUGGUGGCUCAGUGGUAAAGAAUCUGCCUGCCGUGCAGGAGAUGCAGGUUCAAUUCCUGGGUCGGGAA